CCUACGGGUGGCAGCAGUGAGGAAUAGUGGUCAAUGGCCGUAAGGCUGAACCAGCCAAGUCGCGUGAAGGAAGAAGGAUCUAUGGUUUGUAAACUUCUUUUAUAGGGGAAUAAAGGUAUCCACGUGUGGAUAUUUGCAUGUACCCUAUGAAUAAGCAUCGGCUAACUCCGUGCCAGCAGCCGCGGUAAUACGGAGGAUGCGAGCGUUAUCCGGAUUUAUUGGGUUUAAAGGGUGCGUAGGGUGUUUUUUAAGUCAGCGGUGAAAGUUUGUGGCUCAACCAUAAAAUUGCCGUGGAAACUGGCAGACUUGCGUGUGUUUGCGGUCGGCGGACUGCGUGGUGUAGCGGUGCAAUGCCUCGAUAUCACGCAGCACUCCGCUUGCGAAGGCAGCUUACUAAGCCAUACCUGACACUGCCGCACGAAAGCGUGGGGAUCAAACAGGAUUAGAUACCCGGGUAGUC
rnacentral:rRNA from 1 species